UACAGAGGGUGCGAGCGUUGUUCGGAAUUAUUGGGCGUAAAGGGCGCGUAGGCGGUGCCGCAAGUCACUUGUGAAAUCCCCGGGCUUAACUCGGGGCCUGCAGGCGAAACUGUGGUGCUGGAGUAUGGGAGAGGUGCGUGGAACUGCGAGUGUAGAGGUGAAAUUCGUAGAUAUUCGCAAGAACACCAGUGGCGAAGGCGGCUCACUGGCCCGAUACUGACGCUGAGGCACGAAAGCGUGGGGAGCAAACAGG
rnacentral:rRNA from 1 species